rnacentral:misc_RNA from 1 species
GCUAUUUCUAGCUCUAUAAUUCCAAGUCUAUUUCCUUCAAAUGAUUUUUUGAACUUCUGUUAUCAUUGCAACAAGAAAUUGGAAGGUGGGAAAGAUAUUUACAUGUACAGAGGUGAGAAAGCCUUUUGCAGUUUAAGUUGUCGCGCAGAGGAGAUUAUGAUUGAUGAGGAGAUGGAGAAAGCAAUCAAAAAAUCUUCUGAUGACUCUUACAGGUCUGACAAUGGCGAG